UGUACAUCAGCUAUAUCGAUAUCGUUGAAACACGAUGUACAUGUAGACGCAUAUCGGUGGUCUUUCUGUAACAAUGCUGACUCUCUGUUAAUUCUUAGCUGCCUCUCUGUCAUAAACAAGAAAAAUGAUUGAUCGUACGUAGUUCACAAAACAGGUCAAGUUUUAAAGGAAGACAUCCCGACUAGACGGUGAAGUUAGCCACAUGUGAGUGCGCCCAUCCAAAAUGUGUGUUCAUCACAUCAUUGGUGACUUUGAAAAGCUGGCAUACUCACAAUGGACCUCCAAUACAUAGUCACAUAGAGCGCACCGACCGUGGCGCAGUUUGACAAUUUCAAGAUACUUCUUUCGAAGUAAUGGCGGGUCCUGUAGAGAACCCCGGGAAACAACUGAAAGCAGAAGGGAAACAUGAAGAUGAGUGGAAUUCAGUUUCCUGUUAAUUUCGUAUGUGACCCUUACAUGAUCCGGAUCAAUUGCUGGAGAAAGAUUGCGUAAUGUUACGGACACCCGGAAGAUUAUUCAACUGAGCGGUGAUACGAAGGUUGAUCACCAUUGCACAUUCAGGACAUCUGAGCACAGAAAGAGUGUUUAUGCAUGUGUAUAAAACGCCACAACACCGUCAAUUACAAACACCCGUGCGUUACAUGUCUUUGUUUAAAUAUUUAUGAGAAGAGAAACUUGGUCAGUUUAAUAAGGAUGAUAAUGAUUAUGAUGAUUUCCGAAUAUUUUGAUAAAAGAUAAAACUAACUUUACUCAAGGUAUAAGUAAAUAUUGACACGAUAAAAAAUUACAGCCUUUCUAAAAAGGACUCUACCAUCUAUUCCUAUUUGAUAAAUUUCAAUUCACAUCAUGCUACAGCAAAAUGUAUUUUGGUAGGCUUCAUUUAUGUACAUUGAAUGUGUUGAAUUUACACAAUAAAUAUUAACAAUGAAACAUAUGAUAACAGUUAAAUUAACUCACCUGCAAAAAUUAAAGAAAUAUUGCUUAUAAAACAAAAUAAUUAAAUAUUUUGUAUGUUAAGAUAUUUUUAUUUCUUAUUUUCCUACCCCACCCAACAACGUUAAAUGAAAAUAAACUUUAUAUUAAAUAUUCAAAGAAAUUUAUGCAAUUUUUAUGCAUUAACAGAGAUCCCGUAUUACAUACAUUGAGUCUGUCAAAUUCUGGCAAUUUCCUUCGUCAAAUUCCUGCAAAUUUUGC